AAAAUAAUAUGUAGAGUAUUUUAUAUUAAGCAAGUUUGUUUUAUAUUCUUAACUUGCAGUUGAAUAGUAAAUUGACUUCUUGGUACAAAGUUCAUAUUUUAAAGCCGAAAUGGACUUUUUUUACACCGUAGUGAGUUCUUACCCAUGAAUUGCUUUUUGUAACUUUUUUCACUGAUUUGCACUUUUAAUUUCAAAUUUAGGGGCUCUUUCUGCGUUUUACUUGAUUGAUAAGCAAGGAAGAAGAAGACUACUCAUUGGAAGUUAUUUAGGAAUGGCUAAUUUGUCGAUGUUCUUACAGCAUAUGCCAUCAGCUUCUCAGAUGAAGAUGUCAGUCGCAACUUAUUAAUCCUGGGUAUAUUAGGGUUACGGGCAUGGUUGUAAGUACAUAUCAGGUAGCUAGUGGUGCCGGUGCUGCUGCAAUGGAAGAGCUUGAGCUGCAAACUCGUGAGGUUUUGGAAGGCAAGCCUCCAACUUGCAACAUCUUUAGUCAGCAUGUAUGUUUUUUACUAUGUACCUUUAAUGAUCAUCUUUAGUCAGCCCUUACUGUCAAAACAGCAGAAGCUAUGAUCCUUCAGAAAUCAACUGCCCCUGUGGAGUUGCUUAUGUCCAAGCAAACACAUCAUCUUCUGGUUACUUGGCAGAGGAUGUAUUGCAUCUUUCAACGAAGAGUGGAGGUGCAGGUGCAUUUGGCCCGCUAUCAACGUCGACUUCAUGAAUUUUCAACAUUGAGAUUUUACUUUUAGAAAUGAUUGUGAUGAUAUGUUGAGAAUAAAAAGGUGUUUUGUAGUGUAAGCGGUUAAUAUUAAUUUUGUUUGAGGAUAAUGUAAAUAUGUAUAAUACGGGUUCUAGGUGAUAAUAUUAUAGAUGUUAAUACCAAUUCGUUGUAAUUGCUGUAAUUUAAUUUUUUUUUGAAAAAUAAAUGGACUAUUUGCAGCGCACUCUGUUUAGAAACCCUGCAAGUAGU